rnacentral:rRNA from 1 species
UCCAGAGAUGGAUUGGUGCCUUCGGGAACUGUGAGACAGGUGCUGCAUGGCUGUCGUCAGCUCGUGUUGUGAAAUGUUGGGUUAAGUCCCGCAACGAGCGCAACCCUUAUCCUUUGUUGCCAGCGGUUAGGCCGGGAACUCAAAGGAGACUGCCAGUGAUAAACUGGAGGAAGGUGGGGAUGACGUCAAGUCAUCAUGGCCCUUACGACCAGGGCUACACACGUGCUACACUGGCAUAUACAAAGAGAAGCGACC